UACGUAGGGUGCAAGCGUUAAUCGGAAUUACUGGGCGUAAAGCGUGCGCAGGCGGCUUUGCAAGACAGAGGUGAAAUCCCCGGGCUCAACCUGGAAACUGCCUUUGUGACUGCAAGGCUAGAGUACGGCAGAGGGGGAUGGAAUUCCGCGUGUAGCAGUGAAACGCGUGGAUAUGCGGAGGAACACCGAUGGCGAAGGCAAUCCCCUGGGCCUGUACUGACGCUCAUGCACGAAAGCGUGGGGAGCAAACAGGAUUAGAUACCCCGGUAGU
rnacentral:rRNA from 1 species